AGUCAGUCACCUCUCACCCAGAGCCUGGCAAAUUCAAUCUCUUUCACAGAACCUAAAGCCAAGCCAGGUUCAACAGGAAAUCCCACCUGUCCAAACACUGUGUGAGAUACCAGAAGUAGAGGCCUGCAAGCCUGCUUCCGCCAUCUCUGAUGCUCAGAUGGGACAGGUCACCAGCGUCCUGUAUCUACCCCCACCUUUCUUGCUUGCUGUGAAUGCCACCAGGAUCUGAACCCAAGAUCUCCAGCCUCCAUCACCAUCCUGACCCUGAGAAUGCCACUGGGAUGGGGAGAACUUGCCAGUCUUCAUCCUUCCCCACAAGUGUACUGAGGCCAGGACAGGCUCAGCUCCAGAAGCAGACCCAGAAUGGCAUCCUUCUCUGAGACCCAGACUCCAGCCUCUCUUCAUGGAAGACCAGAGCAAAGGAGGAAGUAGGUUAGGGAAUG
rnacentral:lncRNA from 1 species